rfam:Loxodonta africana unplaced genomic scaffold scaffold_11, whole genome shotgun sequence.
GGUGGCAUAAUGGUUAAUGCACUUGGCUGCUAACCAAAAGAUCGGUGGUUCAAGCCCACCAGCCA